rnacentral:rRNA from 1 species
CCUACGGGAGGCAGCAGUGAGGAAUAUUGGUCAAUGGGCUUACGCCUGAACCAGCCAAGUCGCGUGAGGGAAGACUGCUCUAUGGGUUGUAAACCUCUUUUGUCAGGGAGCAAUUGGCGCUACGUGUAGCGUUAUCGAGAGUACCUGAAGAAAAAGCAUCGGCUAACUCCGUGCAAGCAGCCGCGGUAAUACGGAGGAUGCGAGGGUUAUCCGGAUUUUAGGGGUUUAAAGGGGGCGUAGGCGGAAUGCCAAGUCAGCGGUAAAAUCGUGGGGCUCAACCUCGCUCCGCCGUUGAAACUGGCGGUCUUGAGUGGGCGAGAGGUAUGCGGAAUGCGUGGGGUAGCGGUGAAAUGCAUAGAUAUCACGAAGAACUCCAGUUGCGAAGGCAGCAUACCGGCGCCCAACUGACGCUGAAGCACGAAAGCGUGGGUAUCGAACAGGAUUAGAUACCCCAGUAGUC